rnacentral:rRNA from 1 species
UACGUAGGGGGCUAGCGUUGUCCGGAAUCAUUGGGCGUAAAGAGCGUGUAGGCGGCUUGGUAAGUCCGCUGUGAAAGUCCAGGGCUUAACCCUGGGAAAGCCAGUGGAAACUGUCAAGCUAGAGUCCGGAAGAGGUGAGUGGAACGUCCCGGUGUAGCGGUGAAAUGCGUAGAAUAUCGGGAGGAACACCUGUGGCGAAAGCGGCUCACUGGACAGUAACUGACGCUGAUGCACGAAAGCUAGGGGAGCAAACAGGG